GUAGUCAUAUGCUUGUCUCAAAGAUUAAGCCAUGCAUGUCUAAGUAUAAACAAAUUUGUACUGUGAAACUGCGAAUGGCUCAUUAAAUCAGUUAUAGUUUAUUUGAUGGUACAUUGCUACAUGGAUAACUGUGGUAAUUCUAGAGCUAAUACAUGCGUUAAAGCCCCGACUUCUGGAAGGGGUGUAUUUAUUAGAUAAAAAACCAACGCGGUUCGCCGCUCCUUUGGUGAUUCAUAAUAACUUCUCGAAUCGCAUGGCCUUGUGCCGGCGAUGCUUCAUUCAAAUAUCUGCCCUAUCAACUUUCGAUGGUAGGAUAGGGGCCUACCAUGGUAUCAACGGGUAACGGGAAU
rnacentral:rRNA from 1 species